UACGUAGGGGGCUAGCGUUGUCCGGAAUCAUUGGGCGUAAAGCGCGUGUAGGCGGCUCGGUAAGUCCGCUGUGAAAGUCAAAGGCUCAACCUUUGAAAGCCGGUGGAUACUGGGUGGCUAGAGUACGGAAGAGGCGAGUGGAAUUCCUGGUGUAGCGGUGGAAUGCGCAGAUAUCAGGAGGAACACCAAUAGCGAAGGCAGCUCGCUGGGACGUUACUGACACUGAGGCGCGAAAGCGUGGGGAGCGAACAGG
rnacentral:rRNA from 1 species